rnacentral:lncRNA from 1 species
UCCUUUAGAACCUCCUGCUACUAUAAACAAAGUCACUAAGAGCUUAAGCUUGUCUCAGACACUCCCUGGCUCAUGCAAUUAACUGGAACCUGGAAUUUCCGUGAUAACAUCUCUUGGUAAGUGCUCCAUAAUGUAAGGCUUUAUUCGUUAAUAGAUUAUUGCUCACAGUGAAUCCACGAAGUAACCAAUCCCCAUUUCUCCCUCUUCAUGUCUCUCAAAACCACACACACCAUCCAUUCUUUCUGUUUCCCUUGCCAUGUUCCUUAUCAAAACACAUCAACUGCCAUCUGGACCAGGGAUAGGAACGCUAAGCCAGACUCCUUGUCUCCAAUCUCUUCUCCCACUUCCUAAUCCAUCUGGGAUACAAGAUCCAGAGAAAGCUAAUGAAAAACCACCUUAGUGAUGUCAUUCUGCUGCUCGGAAAUGUCAACACUUUCUUGAUGGCUCACCUGGAAACGAAGUUCUUCUCUUCUAGUGCCACACUCCAUUUCCAGGCCUGUCUCCAAAAACCAUGAUCCAGCCAGUCUAGAAUGCAAAACCUCUGAAAAGU